rnacentral:lncRNA from 1 species
CACAUUUUCUUUGAAAUAUUCAAAAUAUAUUCAAGUUAUUUUCAAAACUGAAGCUCCAAAUGGCCAUUUGUCUUAUAAUGUUAUUUUCUAAUGAAAAUCUUGGCCAUGACAGUGAGUGGUAUUUUAUUGAGGUGUAUGUGUGGUAUGUUCUAGUUGGUAUCACCUAAGUUCAGAAAAGGUGUUGAACACAUCUCUAAAUUUUGCCUGCCAUCUAAUGUAUAUAAAUCUGCUUUUAAUCCCCAAAAAGAAUAUUCAUACUUUGUUUUGUUAGAAAAUUAUCAAAAGUUGGUUGUAGAAAUUCUGUUUAUGAGAACUGUCUAAAACUUGCAAAUCAUCUAUUCCCUUAGACACUUAACUUUAUAUUUAAAUAAUGGACCGCUAAAGUUUGGAAUAGAAUUUUGUUUGCUAAACCAUCCCUUGGGGCUAUAUCUGUAUUAAAUUUGAGAAGGUUUAAUUUUUAGAAAAUCUAACAAGUUUUUACCAUAAGCAUGUUGUCAGAUUUUGCUUAUGAUAUCCCAGUGUCCUUUUUAUGAGGACCAGGAGAGAAGCUUCUUUGAGACUUCAUAUCACAAAUAGCUGGAAUUAACCUAAGAAACUAGUAUCUUUUUACUGUGGGACACUAUGGAACUUACAACUACACUUUUCGCUAUUGUUUGACUGCUAGAAAGAAAAAAGUCAAAUCUGCAAGCCAGUUCUGGCAAAAUUCUUAGAGCAGAUAUUUUUGAUACAAUUUUUACCUCCAACUUUGCUUUCCUCUGUCCUACCCCCAUUCAUCUUCCUCCCUUAUUCACCAUCAAGUUCAAAAUGUGUAUUUUUUGUCAGCUCCUGCUAAUUCUGUCUGGAGUGAGCUGGGAGGUAAUUAACUAGUUAAUAAAUUAAUUACUAGCUACAUUGAGCAACAUGCUUUUUUCUCCUCUUCAGUCCAGUGCUUGCUUUUAUUUACUCCUCUCAUCUAUUCAUGUCUUCUUGUAAUAUGGCUACAGCUUGCCCACCUGCUUCGGCGUGUCUGUCAGGACAAUCUGAUGGGAGUGACCAGUCCCACAAAGCCUGGAACUAGAAGCUGCUGGGCCCUUUCCCAAUGUGGUCACCAACUCAGUUAUCAGCCUUUCUUGAAAGAACAACAUUGAAAUAAAUCCUCAAGGAACAGAGAGAGCCAGUUAACAAGUGAGGUUCCUAGGUGAGGCUGAAGCUGCUGAUUCUGGCACCAUAACUGGAGAAAUACUGGCUGUGAUCCAACAGAGUACUGCAAGUAAAUAAAAUAAAAUAAAGGUAUGUUCAAAUCCACUUUUGUUGGUGAUAGUUAUAACCAUUGUUUUUUAACAAAAUAGGCUCUUUCUCUUUCUAUAAUUUAUAAUAGAGAUCCUUUACCACAUCUAUAUCUACUUCCCCAUAGUCCACUGCAGCAUGUGUAACCAAUUCUAAACCAUAAAUAUGUUGACACUUAUGAUUAAUCUGAUGGAUGUGAGUCUCUUUCCUGAAAUAAUUUUAAUCAUUUUCCAGGGAGCUUUUGCAAAAAUCUAAUACAUCUCACUAAAUGUAGAUAGUAUCAGAUUGACUCCAGAAUGAUAAAAAACACACCCAAUAUCCAGAGAGAGCUCUGAGAGAGCAUCACAAUUAUUCUGAUACUCCGUCCAAAAAGAAAACCAACCAACCAACUAUAAUACGAUAACUAACUCUCCUGGAAACCAUUUGGUGAAUUUAAUGUCAUGCAAAUAUCUGUGGAAGUAGUUGUUAGGUGUGGAAUUACAGAAUUAGGAUUUGGAUCCCUACUGUCAAUUGUAGAUAGGUCCUGGGAGGACCAAAAGAAUCUAUUUCUGACCAUCUAUUUUUAAGCCCUUUGGCCAAAGUUAAUUGUUAAUUGAUUUGUCAUAGAUUCAUUCCCUGACGUCAGCUCUCCAUAGCACCUGCUAUAGCCCUCAUAGCUUUCUCCUGGAUUACUGAAAUCACAUCCUUAAUGGUUCUGCCAUCUUGGAACAGGCCUCUGCCAGUCUCCCCUCAAAGACCUGCCAGAUAUUUUCUGUGAUGCAAACCUGAUCAACAGCUAUCUCCCGCAUCCUAACAUUUUUGGAGUAAAACUCAUACUUGCAAAC